AUUCCAUGAUGUUGGAACUUCCUUUGCAACUCUUUGAAUCAUUCCCAUGCAUCAUAUAAAGAUUCCCCAUGCAGUAUAUGGAAAUUAUUAAUCUCUCCUCUUAUUCU